CUUCUCGAGCUCUGCCCCAGGGGCUGUAAUCUCUUAUGUAUUUUUCGUGACCAGCGUUUGUUGCGCCACCGCUGUAAGCGAACCCGCCGAACCGAACUAAAAUGCAAUAUGGCCGUCUAAAAUCAACAUGGCCGUAGUAAUGAGUUCCGUUCAACAAGCAAAGUAAAGUGAAGCAAAGCUUACGAGCGAAGAAGGAGGUUAUUUCUUACGAACGGAAUAAUUUAAAACUGAUGACACCAGUAACUGUUCCAAUGUGUACACCAGCCUUCGACACCAUAUAGAAUAAAGAUGCUGUCAGAGGAGUUAGAUGAGGGAGCUACAACCAA